GGCAGUGCUAUGUACUGAACUGUUUCACACUAUCACAAAUAAAAUUGCAGGUUGAGCCUCACUUCACACACACACACACUCACACACACACACACACACACACACACGUGCGCACGCAGAGUAUCAGGAAAUAGCCUGUCCGUUUUGGCUGCAGACGCAGGGAUUUUGGUUUCCUUGGCUUCUGAGCUGUUCUUGGAGCGGGGCCAUCUAGGGAAACUGAGCAAGUACACGGGGCCAUCAAACUUGGGCUGGAUCCAUCAGGCACACAAAAAACACUCUCCAGCUCUCUCCCCGAAGUGGAGCAGACAAAAGUGCUGUUGAUGCUGAAGCUGCAGAAAGCUUCAGAAGGCCCCGUGGGAGGAAGCUUGGCACGAGAGGCGAGCAGCUCCAACUGACCCUGGAAGGGAGCAGCAGGCUGGGGUGAGAUCCAGACUCCGCUCAGAUCGGAAUGCCUGCACCCUUUGCCUUGCCUCACUGUGAAGGAGAGAAACGGUCUGCCUGGCCUGCGUCCCUUCCUGGGGCUGAAGCUUCUGGGCCUGCCCCAGGGUCCUGAACGGCUGACAACACACGGAUCAACUGGACCACUGGUGACCACAGAAAGGAGGCUGCAGCUGUUUCUUGCUACGCUUCGAGAGAUCAAAGAGCGUGCGGAGCACUGGCCCGCUUCAAAGAACAAGACCCAGGAGAGGAAGGGCCUCGCAGACCUCCUGACUCAAGGCGACCUCCUCCUGAUUCAGGGCACCCUCCUGACUUAGGGCACAUUUAGGCUCCUGCAAAGGGAGCGCAGCCUGAGGCCGUGAACAGCGCCACCCCCUAGUGGCUUAGAAGGGCCAUGCUAGUCUCUCCAGGAAGCCAGGUAUCAUUCGUUUCUUUAAAAAUAAAACCAAACAGGCCGGGCGCGGUGGCUCAUGCCAAUAAUCCCAGCACCUUGGGAGGUCGAGGUGGGCGGAUCACCUGGGGUCAGGAGUUCAAGACCAGCCUGGCCAACACGGUGAAACCCUGUCUCUACUAAAAGUACAAAAAUUAGUUAAGCGUGGUGGCACACGCCUGUAAUCCCAGCUACUCUAGAGGCUGAGGCAGGAGUAAUCGCUUGAACCCAGGAGGUGGAAGUUGCAGUGAGCCAAAAUCGCACCAUUGCACUCCAGCCUGGGCGACAAGAGUGAAGCUCUGUCUCAACAACAACAAAAAACCAAACAAUAAAGUAUAUAUAUAUAUAAAGUAUAUUUUAAAAUAUAUAUAACAUAUAAAUAUAUAUUUUUUAAUACAUAUAAAUAUAUUUUAUUUGAACUCCUGACCUCAAAUGAUCCACCCAGCUCAGCCUCCCAAAGUGCUAGGAUUACAGGCGUGAGCCACAGCGCAUGGCCUUUUUGUUUUAUAAAACUUUUUUUUUUUUUCUGAGACAGAGUCUUGUUCUGUUCCCCAGGCUGGGGUGCAGUGGCGCCAUCCUUGACUCACUGCAUCCUCGACCCCCUGGGCUCAAGUGAUCCUCCUGAGAGGUGACAGCGUGCUGGCAGCCCUGGCUCGCUCUCUGCGCCUCCUCUGCCUGGGUCCCACUUUGGCGGCACUUGAGGAGCCCUUCAGCCCGCCGCUGCACUGUGGGAGACCCGUCCUGGGCUGGCCAAGACCGGAGCCGGCUUCCUCAGCUUGCCGGGAGGUGUGGAGGGAGAGGCGCAGGCAGGAACCGGGGCUGCGUGCGGCGCUUGCGGGCCAGCGCGAGUUCCGGGUGUGCGUGGGCUCGGCGGGCCCCGCACUCGGAGCGGCCCCCCAGCCCACAAGCCCCAGGCAUUGAGGGGCUUAGCACCUGGGCCAGCAGCUGCUGUGCUCGACUUCUCGCCAGGCCUUAGCUGGCUCCCCGCGGGGCAGGGCUCGGGACCUGCAGCCCGCCAUGCCUGAGCCUCCCCUCCCCGCCAUGGAUGGGUUCCUGCGCGGCUGGAGCCUUCCCAAGGAUCGCCGCCCCCUGCUCCAGGGCGCCCAGUCCCAUCGACCACCCAAGGGCUGAGGAGUGCGGCGGCACAGCACCGGACUGGUAGGCAGCUCCACCUGCGGCCUUGGUGCAGGAUCCACUGGGUGAAGCCAGCUGGGCUCCUGAGUCUGGUGAGGACUUGGAGAACCUUUAUGUUUAGCUAAGGGAUUGUAAAUACACCAGUCGGCACUCUGUAUCUAGCUCAAGGUUUGUAAACACACCAAUCAGCACCCUGUGUCUAGCUCAGGGUUUGUGAAUGCACCAAUCCACACUCUGUAUGUGGCUUCUCUGGUGGGGACUUGGAGAACCUUUAUGUCUAGCUAAGGGAUUGUAAAUACACCAAUCGGCACUCUGUAUCUAGCUCAAGGUUUGUAAACACACCAAUCAGCACCCUGUGUCUAGCUCAGGGUUUGUGAAUGCACCAAUCAACACUCUGUAUCUAGCUACUCUGGUGGGGACUUGGAGAACUUUUGUGUCCACACCCUGUAUCUAGCUAAUCUAGUGGGGAUGUGGAGAACUUUUGUGUCUAGCUCAGGGAUUGUAAACGCACCAAUCAGCACCCUGUCAAAACGGACCAAUCAGCUCUCUGUAAAAUGGACCAAUCAGCAGGAUGUGGGUGGGGCCAGAUAAGGGAAUAAAACUGCUUAAAACUGCUUGCCCGAGCCAAAAGUGGCAACCCGCUGGGGUUCGUGUCCAUGCUAUGGAAGCCUUGUUCUUUCACUCUGCAAUAAAUAUUACUGCUGCUCACUUUUUGGGUCCACUCUGCCUUUAUGAGCUGUAACACUCACCGGGAAGAUCUACAACUUCACUCCUUGAGCCAGGGAGACCACGAACCCCUCGGGGAAGGAACGAAGAAUUCCAGACGCACCGUCUUAAGAGCUGUAACGCUCACCGCGAAGGUCUGCAGCUUCACUUCUGAGCCAGCGAGACCACGAGCCCACCAGAUGGAAGAAACUCCAAACACAUCCGAACAUCAGAAGGAACAAACUCCGGACACACUGCCUUUAAGAACUAUAACACUCACCGCGAGGGUCUGCGGCUUCAUUCUUUAAGUCAGUGAGACCAAGAACCCACCAAUUCUGGACACACUUCCACCUCAGUUUCCUGAGUAGUUGGGACCACAGGUGUGCACCACCACGUCUGGAUAAUUGUUAUAUUUGUUUUGCAGAGAAGGUUUCACCGCAUUGCCCACGCUGGCUUCAAACUCCUGUGCUCAAGGAAUCCACCCACCUCAGCCUCCCAAAGUGCUGAGAUUACCAUUGUAACCCAGUGCCUGGCCCUAGAAAAGUGUUUUGUAGCUGGGCAACAUAGCAAAACCUCGUCUCUAUAAAAUAAACAUUUUAAAACCAGCCACCAUGGUGGGACAUGCCUGCAA
rnacentral:lncRNA from 1 species